CGUUAGCCUGGGGCUGGCUAGGCUACAUUUUUGAGACAUGUCCAAAAAAAAGUAGAAAAUGUUUUUACAUUGAAUGAUGUGACCUAAUUAACUGCAUAGUCCUACUUGUGACAGCAUAUUAGCCCAGAGUUGAAGGGCUGUGAAAGUUGGUAGUUGUGGUUGAUUUUGUUUAAAUAUGCCGAAUUGUGAUAUUAUGGGUUAUUAUUGUUCAGAUGAUUUAGCUAAGCUAGCUAAGAGCUGCUAACAUCAGUAGUCUCUUGUUGCCAUAGCAACAGUAAACAUUCACAUGGACCAAUGAGCUGUAAGUAGAGAUGCAGAAUCAAGCUGUAUUGUAAAUACAGAUGAGAUACUUUGAAUUUUAGCACAAAAUACAAGUAAACCUAUAGGAAAUAAUUAGUUUAAUUUGCAAUAUUUGCCAUUGAAUUUAUUGUAAUCUUUCAAUUCAUUUAUUGUUUACUGAGGUGAUAACUAUUUCAUAAUUUGUGUGUAACUUUAAUUUGUGUGUAAAUGUGUUACUUUUACUGUAGUUUUCAAAUGGCUGUGUAUAUAUAAGUAUAUGUCUCUUUUAGGUUGACCACCCUAUAUAUGAGAGCCUAAGGAGUUGUUUUCCCUCUGUCCCUUUUUGAGGACCUCCUUUGUCUCCUCCAUCAUUCACUGGGCCACUUUUGGGUUCCUGAGCUCAUUUCAUGUGGUUUUCCUGAACUGCUAGAAGUUCUUCUAUGAUGCUUGAGUCAUCCAUCAUAUCUGAGAGCUUCGUCUUGACUUUGUCAUGAAUUUGGUGAGGAGCGGAGCUGGCUGGCUGCGGACGAGGAAGUAGGGCAAUACAUACUUGUGCACAUACACGUAUAUGAGAAUGCAUAUCUAUUCAGACCUGUAACCCAUGUCUUAGACUUUUUCACACAGCUAUAUAUAUUUUUUUUUCUCACCGUUGAGCGAGUGAGUUUCAGCUCUAAUGCUGCUACUGUCUGUAAUAUGUUUCUAUUUAGAUUAUUUGUCAGGAUAUUUUUUUGUUAUUAUUGUCCGAGUCUGGUUUUAACUAAUGCUGGGCUUACAGACUAAAAACUGAAAGGGUAGCAUAAAGGUUCUUCCCGUUAGUCUCGUCCCACCCCUAGUCAUGACAUAACUUCUGUUAUGAUUUGACACUAUAAUGAAUAAAGAUUGAUUGAUUGAUUGCUAUAGCUGUCAAUUUUAGUCCUUGAGUUCAUAGUUAAGUGCUUUAUUUGUUAACUGCUAUCAAGGAAUAUGACUCUUCUUUGUAGUAUGCAUGAGAGAAGAUGCCGCGAGAUUAGUGGACUUCUAUGUAGUGUCCGCUGAUAAUGUAGUGGGCUGGUCUGGACAGAAAAUGCCAGGGCUGAAUUUUUGUCCCAGUCCA